rnacentral:rRNA from 1 species
CAGGCAAGAAGCUUGCAUGUGUUUGCUGACGAGUGGCGGACGGGUGAGUAAUGUCAGGGAAACUGCCUGAUGGAGGGGGAUAACUACUGGAAACGGUAGCUAAUACCGCAUAACGUCGCAAGACCAAAGAGGGGGACCUUCGGGCCUCUUGCCAUCGGAUGUGCCCAGAUGGGAUUAGCUAGUAGGUGGGGUAACGGCUCACCUAGGCGACGAUCCCUAGCUGGUCUGAGAGGAUGACCACACUGGAACUGAGACACGGUCCAGACUCCUACGGGAGGCAGCAGUGGGGAAUAUUGCACAAUGGGCGCAAGCCUGAUGCAGCCAUGCCGCGUGUAUGAAGAAGGCCUUCGGGUUGUAAAGUACUUUCAGCGGGGAGGAAGGGAGUAAAGUUAAUACCUUUGCUUCACUGACGGUACCCGCAGAAGAAGCACCGGCUAACUCCGUGCCAGCAGCCGUGGUAAUUACGGAGGGUGCAAGCGUUAAUCGGAAUUACUGGGCGG